rnacentral:rRNA from 1 species
UACGAAGGGAGCUAGCGUUGUUCGGAAUCACUGGGCGUAAAGCGCACGUAGGCGGAUUUGUCAGUCAGGGGUGAAAUCCCGGGGCCCAACCUCGGAACUGCCUUUGAUACAGCAAGUCUUGAGUUCGAGAGAGGUGGGUGGAAUUCCUAGUGUAGAGGUGAAAUUCGUAGAUAUUAGGAAGAACACCGGUGGCGAAGGCGGCCCACUGGCUCGAUACUGACGCUGAGGUGCGAAAGCGUGGGGAGCAAACAGG